rnacentral:misc_RNA from 1 species
AGCAGCCGCGGUAAUUCCAGCUCCAAUAGCGUAUAUUAAAGUUGUUGCAGUUAAAAAGCUCGUAGUUGAAUUUCGGGAUCAAUUAAUUGGUCGUGCCUAUGGUACGUACUGAUUUUAUUGGUUUCUCCCUUCUGACGAACCAUGAUGUCAUUAAUUUGGUGUCGUGGAGAAUCAGGACUGUUACUUUGAAAAAUUAGAGUGUUUAAAGCAGGCUAACGCUUGAAUACAUUAGCAUGGAAUAAUGAAAUAGGACGUUUGAUCCUAUUUUGUUGGUUUCUAGGAUCGACGUAAUGAUUAAUAGGGAUAGUUGGGGGCAUUAGUAUUCAAUUGUCAGAGGUGAAAUUCUUGGAUUUAUUGAAGACUAACUACUGCGAAAGCAUUUGCCAAGGAUGUUUUCAUUAAUCAAGAACGAAAGUUAGGGGAUCGAAGACGAUCAGAUACCGUCGUAGUCUUAACCAUAAACUAUGCCGACUAGGGAUCGGAUGAUGUUAAUUUUUUAAUGACUCAUUCGGCGCCUUAC